GACGAACGCUGGCGGCGCGCUUAACACAUGCAAGUCGAACGGAAAGGCCUGCUUUCCCUUGUGGUUUGCGGGUACUCGAGUGGCGAACGGGUGAGUAACACGUGAGUGAUCUGCCCCCAACUUGGGUAUAAGCCUGGGAAACUGGGUCUAAUUCCCGAUAGGACUGCAGGGUGGUGCCUGUGGUGGAAAACGAUUUUCUAGUGGUUGGGGAUGAGCUCGCGGCCUAUCAGCUUGUUGGUGGGGUAAUGCCCUACCAAGGCGGCGACGGGUAGCCGGCCUGGGAGGGGGGACGGCCGCACUGGGACUGGGACACGGCCCAGACUGCUGCGGGAGGCAGCAGUGGGGGAUAAUGCGCAGUGGGCGGGAGCCUGAUGCAGCGAGGCCGCGUGGGGGAUGACGGCGUUGGGGUUGUAAUCUCCUUGCGACCGCGAGGAAGCCACCUGGUUGGAAGGGUGGUGACGGUAGUGGUAGAAGAAGCACCGGCUAACUACGUG
rnacentral:rRNA from 1 species